rnacentral:rRNA from 1 species
CAUGCAGUCGGGCGGAACGAAAGAAAGCUUGCUUUCUUGGCGUCGAGCGGCGGACGGGUGAGUAAUGCCUGGGAAAUUGCCCUGAUGUGGGGGAUAACCAUUGGAAACGAUGGCUAAUACCGCAUAACGUCUACGGACCAAAGAGGGGGACCUUCGGGCCUCUCGCGUCGGGAUAUGCCCAGGUGGGAUUAGCUUGUUGGUGAGGUAAAGGCUCACCAAGGCGACGAUCCCUAGCUGGUCUGAGAGGAUGAUCAGCCACACUGGAACUGAGACACGGUCCAGACUCCUACGGGAGGCAGCAGUGGGGAAUAUUGCACAAUGGGCGCAAGCCUGAUGCAGCCAUGCCGCGUGUAUGAAGAAGGCCUUCGGGUUGUAAAGUACUUUCAGCAGUGAGGAAGGUGGUGUAUUUAAUACGUGCAUCAUUUGACGUUAGCUGCAGAAGAAGCACCGGCUAACUCCGUGCCAGCAGCCGCGGUAAUACGGAGGGUGCGAGCGUUAAUCGGAAUUACUGGGCGUAAAGCGCAUGCAGGUGGAUGAUUAAGUCAGAUGUGAAAGCCCGGGGCUUAACCCCGGAACAGCAUUUGAAACUGGUCAUCUAGAGUACUGUAGAGGGGGGUAGAAUUUCAGGUGUAGCGGUGAAAUGCGUAGAGAUCUGAAGGAAUACCGGUGGCGAAGGCGGCCCCCUGGACAGAUACUGACACUCAGAUGCGAAAGCGUGGGGAGCAAACAGGAUUAGAUACCCUGGUAGUCCACGCCGUAAACGAUGUCUACUUGGAGGUUGUGGCCUUG